UUUAAUUAAUGGUACAGGUAAAUUAGAAAUAAAAAUAUCAGUAUUAUAAUAUAAAGCGAAGUUUCAUUUAUUGAAAUGAGAAUGAUAAAUCCACAAGGUUUUCGAAAGGAACUUGAUCCAUUUGAAUUGUUCAGUUUUCGUAGAACUUCUAACAGAUAUCCUCAUCGAAAGGCAGUGUACAGAUGAUUAGAUAGCGCAGAUAGGUUAGAGCCUCAGCAUCCCCAGCAAUGCAGGAACUCCUGUAACCGUUUUUUGGCUUAUGGGCGUUAAAUAGUUCUUUAAAACUAUUAACCAAUCGCAGAUGUUGUUAUAUCAACUUCUUUAAAAGAAACACCUCCAAUGAUACGCACGGCCCACGGUUCGUUUGUUGUUUACGAUCGCCAGCUUAUUUGACCUCCUAAUAAGCAAGGAAUAGUGUGAGUCAGCCGUCUCCUGAGAUAGCAGUCUUGUAGGUGCGUUCCAGUAUAAGUCGUCAAUUAGUAUUCCACUAAUUAACCCCUUUCUACUCCCUUAGGUAAUCCAGGAUUUCCAGAUGCAGCAGUAUUUCAGGUAAGUAGAAAUUAAUUCUUUAAAAUUAAUCCCUUUCUUCUGUUUCAGGUUCCUUCCAGCGGUGCAGCAGCUCCAGCAAGGGCAACAGUUCCAAUUUCCUGUGUGUGAGACAAUUCACUAUUCACAGGUCUCGGACCUCGAAACGCACUCCCGACGCUCCUUCGUGUGGACUGAACUCUCGAGCUCUGCGGACGCUCGCUUUUAUAGCAAAGUAGGGGUUCCCCUUACGCGCCCCCACCACUCUUCGGUGAAAAUAUCAAAAUUCUUACAUUAAAGUAUUAACAUUAUAAACACUUAUCUUAAUAACUUAUUCUAGCUAUUUAAGACAUACAAUGAACAUCCUUUAGAA